rnacentral:rRNA from 1 species
UUCCGGUUGAUCCUGCCGGACCCUACUGCUAUCGGGGGAGGACUAAAACAUGCAAGUCGUGCGCCUCCAAGCCAUGGUGGAGACGCGGCAUACGGCUCAGUAACACGUGGCUAACCCACCCUUGAGACGGAGAAAACCCCGGGAAACUGGGGCUAAUCCCCGAUAAGAGAAGACACCUGGAACGGGUCUCCUCUCAAAAGGCGCCUAGACCAUGCUUUUAGGCGCUGCUCAAGGACGGGGCCGCGGCCGAUCAGGUUGUUGGUGAGGCAACGGCUCACCAAGCCUAUAACCGGUACGGGCCGUGAGAGCGGGAGCCCGGAGAUGGGCACUGAGACAAGGGCCCAGGCCCUACGGGGCGCAGCAGUUGCGAAAACUCCGCAAUGCACGAAAGUGUGACGGGGCUACCCCGAGUGCCGUCCGCUGAGGGCGGCUUUUCCCCGGUGUAAGGAGCCGGGGGAAUAAGGAGAGGGCAAGUCUGGUGUCAGCCGCCGCGGUAAUACCAGCUCUCCGAGUGGUAGGGAUGAUUAUUGGGCUUAAAGCGUCCGUAGCCGGCCCGGCAAGUCUUCCGUUAAAUCCAACGAUUCAAUCGUCGGACUGCGGGAGAUACUGUUGGGCUAGGAGGCGGGAGAGGCCGACGGUAUUCUCGGGGUAGGGGUAAAAUCCUAUAAUCCCGGGAAGACCACCAGUGGCGAAGGCGGUCGGCUAGAACGCGCUCGACGGUGAGGGACGAAAGCUGGGGGAGCGAACCGGAUUAGAUACCCGGGUAGUCCCAGCUGUAAACGAUGCGGGCUAGGUGUUGGGGCGGCUACGGGCCGCUUCAGUGCCGCAGGGAAACCGUUAAGCCCGCCGCCUGGGG